CCUUUGUACACACCGCCCGUCGCUACUACCGAUUGAAUGGCUUAGUGAGGUCUCCGGAUUGGCUUCGGGGAGCGGGCAACCGCACCCUGUUGCUGAGAAGCUGAUCAAACUUGGUCAUUUAGAGG
rnacentral:rRNA from 1 species